CAGUCGCCGCGGUAAUACAGAGGGUGCAAGCGUUAAUCGGAAUUACUGGGCGUAAAGCGCGCGUAGGUGGUUUGUUAAGUUGAAUGUGAAAGCCCCGGGCUCAACCUGGGAACUGCAUCCAAAACUGGCAAGCUAGAGUAGGGCAGAGGGUGGUGGAAUUUCCUGUGUAGCGGUGAAAUGCGUAGAUAUAGGAAGGAACACCAGUGGCGAAGGCGACCACCUGGGCUCAUACUGACACUGAGGUGCGAAAGCGUGGGGAGCAAACAGGAUUAGAUACCCCUGUAGUCCCUGUCUCUUAUAA
rnacentral:rRNA from 1 species